GUAAUUGUAGGAAAACAAAGCGUCAUAUAACUGACGGGAUCCAUAUAACUACUCUCUAAGAUCCUCUUCAACUCUAACCAUUUUCUUCUUCGAUCAAUCCUCUGCUACGCCGAGAUUCUGCCUCCUUUACGGGCCUUAUAUUGGGUUUCCUCCUUUUUGGGAUUCAGUUGUCGGAGCCGGAGCAACAAUCUAUUGGAUCACAGGAACUCCACAGAAUAUUUUUUUUCUCUUUCUUCUGAUACAUAUAAUAUUGUAUAACCAAUUGUCAUCCGCGACUCUCAUGUUCUGUAGCCUCCAUGUUACAACAAAGUUAUGUCAAAAUUAGGCAGGAUACGAGACGUCAAUCAAAUGAAACUAGGGAAACACUAGUAAUACUUACUGUGCCACAACUAGAGGCUAUAGUGAGGUUGAGGUGUUGCUCUCCUUUUGGAUUGAGACCCUUUUAUGGGGAAUGUAAGAAUACCCUUUUUUUUUAUUAUCUAUGUUGAUUUUAUUUUGAAUUUGAGACAAAUUUUAUAGUCGUACCUUUACAUGAGUGUAUAAGAUGGAAGUUCCUUUUAAUGUCUUUGCCUUGAAGUUUUUGUGUUCAAGUAA